rnacentral:lncRNA from 1 species
CAAAUUUUAAAAAUUCAUAUUCAAAUCCAAACCCAACAAAAAAUUCGAAUUCGAAUCAAUUAUUUUUUUUUCAAUAUUUCAAAAUAUAUUAUAUUAAAUCUAAAUUUUUAAAAUAUAAAUUUAAAUAUAAUAUCAAAAUUUUAUAUACAUAUUAUAUACAAUAUAAAAUAAGGGUUCGGAUUUGGGUUGGAUACAAUCAAAAUUCAUAUCUGAAUUCAUAUUCAUCGGAUUUUUAUUUUUGAUAUCUAGAUUCGAAAUCAUAUCUGUUUAGUAUAGAACAAAUUUGCUCCGUUUGAAUUCGGAUAAAAUUUCGGACAUCCGUACAUAUUCUAUGUGUCGAUUUUGCUCGGUUGUCGUGAAUUCUCUCUCUCUUUUGAGUAUAUAAAUUGUUUUUUUCUGUGUUCAAAAAAUUAUAUUUAAUUAUUUUAUGAUAUAAUAUAUUUUUAUUUUAUUAUUUCGUGAUUUAAACAGUUUUACUGAGGUAUCAUGUGAUUUUAUUUUUAUUUCAUUAUAAAUAUCUAUUGUUAAUGUUAAUAGGAUGUCAUUCAGUAAUUUUUUUAAAACAAUUAUUUUACUAUAUUUUAUUUGAUGAUAUAUUUUUUUCUUAAAAUAAAAAUAAAAAUAAAAAUAAUAUGAUAAUUAAGUAUAAUCUUUUAACUAUAAAAUUGUAGAAUA